rnacentral:lncRNA from 1 species
AGGUGACCUGCGAGGAAGCUUGGCUGGGGGCCUAGAGGCUGCACCGGGGUGCACAGUGAGGUCAACUUCCCCCUUCCUGGGCCUGCACCCUGACACAGGGGUGUGCACCCCACGGCCCAGCUGGAUGUGUCUCCUGCUGUCUGCCUAUCUGUCUGCUGUGCCCUGGCCCACCGUGGGCUCUGGGCCUCUGCUGGGCUCCCCUGGCACCCAUGGGGCCUGAGUUCUCAUCAACAACCUGCUUCAAGGGGUGCGUGUCAGGGUCCUGGGGUAUGGGGGAGACCCCAGCCAGGUCCUGGUGCGGACAGCCCUGCUUCCCUACCCCCUCUCCCCUUCCCUCCCUCCUCCACUUCUCUCUGCAGCUAUUUAAAGCAAGUGGUGGCGUGGGAAACUUCUUCAGAUGUGUGGUUUCAUCUUCUUCAGCACAGGGACGGGGCGUCUGCUCGCUCUGGUGACUCAUCCAGAGUGAGAAAAGCCUUUUUGUUGUUUGAUGCUCGCUGGAGGCUCUGUAGCCUGAGAACCUGGCCCGAUGGGGCCUUCCCUGCUGAGACUCCUGGGAGGCCUUGGGAGUGCCCAGGGCAGCCCUUUUGUUCCAUCCCCAGACCCAGGGAGCCCGGGACCAGUGGAGCCCCUGAAGCUGAAAUACUCUGCUUAGAGUGAGCCUUCCUGACUGGUGGGUGGGGCAGGGGUGGCCAUUCUCAACACCCAGCUCAGCCACCACCUCCUCCAAGAAGCCUCCCUGAUUCCUCCAAAACCUCAGUCGAUCUCCACCUUAUUCAGUCCUCUAACCCUCAGUCUUCUUAUCUAUGAAAUGGAGCAGUGGGUCCAAGCUUCACAGAUCUGUGUGAAGAUAAACUGCGGAACACACACAGAUGCUCAGUAGGGCUUACCCUGCCUGUGAGCAGAGUCUGCUGCUAUCCCGGUUCCACAGACAAGGACAGAGGGGCUCAAAGAAGUCUGGGAAUGUGGAAGCCUGGGGAUUUGGAAGUCGGCUGGAGCUCUAGCUGCCGGCCUCUGUCAUUUGGGUGUGUUCUUUAUUACUACAGAGCGAUGCUGCAGAGAAAGAGGGCAUGAGGACUGGAGAUGGCUGGCCCUGGGCAGACCUUUCAGGGCCUCAGUUUCCUCACCUGUGAAACUGGACACUUGGCCUCCACCAUCCCCCAAGGCUCUCCCAGCUCAGUGGUGCUACAAUAGGAGGGAUGAUAUGUGGCCAAAGGGAGGGGAGUGGGUGGCCAGGACAGGCUGCCCUUUGCUGAGGCCUUUGUGACUCUGUUACCCCAAAUGGAAGCCAGAGAGGUAGAGUGACUUAGCCAAGGUCAUACAGCAACUCACUGGGGGGUUGGGGAAGGGAACCCUGCUUGACUGGGCGGGGCAGAACCUGGAGGCUCAGGCAUGUUGGGGAAGGAUGGGAGACUGCAGCUGAGAGUCCUCACUCCCAGCCCGUCUUCUGAAACACAGACGCUGGGAGAGCCAUCUCCACCAAGGCCAGAGCUGCCUGUCUCCAAACUGAAAGUCACAAAUGCACUGAAAACUUGAGGCCCUGCUCUGCCCAUUUCCAACUUUCUGCCCUGGCCCCAGAAUCAUAGGCAUCCCCCCAUUGUACAGAGGGGAAGGCUGAGGCCCAGCAAAGGCAGGGGACUUGUCCAAGGACUCCCAGGGAGGCCAUGCUAAAGCAGGGGCUAGCAUCCUGACUCUUGGUUCCCUGCCCAGUAGUCCCCACCAUCAUCGCCAAAUAAUAAUAAUAGUAAUAGGCCAGGCACAGUGGCUCACACCUGGGAUUCCAGCACUUUGGGAGGCUGAGGCGGGUGGGUGGCUUGAGCCCAGGAGGUCGAGGCUGCAGUGAGCUGUGAUUGCACCACUGCACUCCAGCCUGGGCAACAGAGCUAAGACCCUGUCUCAAAAUAAUAAUAAUAAUAAUAAAUGUAUCGAGGGCCCUGGAAAUCAGCUCUGGUCUGUCUGGGACUAUUCACACCUGUGCCAGCCAGAUUCGAUUCCUGCUUUGAUCCAACCCUUGCCUUACGGUUCAGCCUUGCCAGCCUCAGGGAUGGGGCACACUGUGUGCUGUAGAGACUUGGACACUACCCAUUGCCAGCCAAGCUGCCCCCAGGAAAGCCCUGAGUGUCAGUGCUCUGUUAGGCCUCGGCAGGGGGCCAGCAGCUGUCCUCCAGAAGCUUUCAGCCUAAGAAGGAAUGGUUUGCAGUUCUUUUCCAGCCCUUUAUAGUUUUAC